rnacentral:rRNA from 1 species
CAGUCGCCGCGGUAAUACAGAGGGUGCGAGCGUUAAUCGGAUUUACUGGGCGUAAAGCGUGCGUAGGCGGCUUUUUUAGUCGGAUGUGAAAUCCCUGAGCUUAACUUAGGAAUUGCAUUCGAUACUGGGAAGCUAGAGUAUGGGAGAGGAUGGUAGAAUUCCAGGUGUAGCGGUGAAAUGCGUAGAGAUCUGGAGGAAUACCGAUGGCGAAGGCAGCCAUCUGGCCUAAUACUGACGCUGAGGUACGAAAGCAUGGGGAGCAAACAGGAUUAGAGACCCCCGUAGUCCCUGUCUCUUAUAC